rnacentral:misc_RNA from 1 species
GGUUCAUGAGUCACAAACAAAUUCUGCAAAACAAUUGAGUAAAGCAUUCAAAGAGAAGUGUUAAAUAUCUCUAAACAAAAAUCGGAAUCUCAAAUUCACGCAUAAGAUUUCACUAUAUGCAUCAUUUAUUUUGAUUAGAUCAUCUAAAGGAAUAACCAAAACUAACAUUCUAAAUCAGAAUUCCAAAACACAAUACAUAAAUCAAACAGUUCCACUAACAUUUAGCACAAUAAGAUCCCAGAAACACAAAAGGGGUUUACAGUUAUAAGUCCAAGACACACAUAAUUUCUGUUAGUAGUAUGCCCUAGAGC